rnacentral:rRNA from 1 species
UACGUAGAGCCAAGCGUUGUUCGGAGUUACUGGGCGUAAAGGGUGCGUAGGCGGUCGGGUAAGUCUGAUGUGAAAUCUCACAGCUUAACUGUGAAACUGCAUUGGAUACUAUCCGGCUCGAGGAAUGGAGGGGAGACUGGAAUACUUGGUGUAGCAGUGAAAUGCGUAGAUAUCAAGUGGAACACCAGUGGCGAAGGCGAGUCUCUGGACAUUUCCUGACGCUGAGGCACGAAAGCCAGGGGAGCAAACGGG